rfam:Picea glauca, whole genome shotgun sequence.
UCACUUGCACAUUCCUACACCGUUAAUGCACCAAAUCCCAUUAGAACUCCACAGUUAAGUGCACUUGGGCUAGAUUAGUAAUGGGAUGGGUGAUCUCCUGGGAAGUCUUAGUGUUUUACAUGCC